GACGUAGGGUGCAAGCGUUGUCCGGAAUUAUUGGGCGUAAAGAGUUCGUAGGCGGCUUGUCACGUCGGAAGUGAAAGCCCGGGGCUUAACCCCGGGUCUGCUACCGAUACGGGCAGGCUAGAGGGAAGCAGGGGAGAGUGGAAUUCCUGGUGUAGCGGUGGAAUGCGCAGAUAUCAGGAGGAACACCGGUGGCGAAGGCGGCUCUCUGGGCUUUACCUGACGCUGAGGAACGAAAGUGUGGGGAGCAAACAGG
rnacentral:rRNA from 1 species